CAGAUCAGAAAAGAUGGCCGCAGUCGACACCUUCCUCUUCACCUCGGAGUCCGUGAAUGAGGGACACCCUGACAAGCUCUGCGACCAGGUCUCAGAUGCUGUGCUUGAUGCUUGCCUUGCUGAGGACCCCGACAGCAAGGUUGCUUGCGAGACCUGCACCAAGACUAACAUGGUCAUGGUCUUUGGUGAGAUCACCACCAAGGCCAACGUCGACUACGAGAAGAUUGUCAGGGACACUUGCCGCAACAUCGGUUUCGUGUCGGCAGAUGUCGGGCUUGACGCUGACCACUGCAAGGUGCUCGUGAACAUUGAGCAGCAGUCCCCUGAUAUUGCUCAGGGUGUGCAUGGCCACUUCACAAAGCGCCCUGAGGAGAUCGGAGCUGGUGACCAGGGACACAUGUUUGGGUAUGCAACUGAUGAGACCCCUGAGCUGAUGCCCCUCAGCCACGUCCUUGCCACCAAGCUUGGUGCUCGUCUCACAGAGGUGCGCAAGAAUGGGACCUGCCCCUGGCUCAGGCCUGAUGGGAAGACCCAGGUGACUGUCGAGUACCGCAAUGAGGGUGGUGCGAUGGUCCCCAUCCGUGUCCACACUGUCCUCAUCUCUACCCAGCACGACGAGACAGUCACCAACGAUGAGAUUGCCGCUGACCUCAAGGAGCAUGUCAUCAAGCCUGUCAUCCCUGAGCAGUACCUUGACGAGAAGACCAUCUUCCACCUUAACCCAUCUGGUCGCUUUGUCAUCGGUGGACCUCAUGGUGAUGCUGGUCUCACUGGCCGGAAGAUCAUCAUUGACACCUAUGGUGGCUGGGGAGCCCACGGUGGUGGUGCUUUCUCCGGCAAGGACCCAACCAAGGUUGACCGCAGUGGAGCCUACAUUGCCAGGCAAGCUGCCAAGAGCAUUGUCGCUAAUGGCCUUGCUCGCCGCGCCAUCGUCCAGGUCUCCUAUGCCAUCGGUGUGCCUGAGCCCCUCUCCGUGUUUGUUGACACAUAUGGCACUGGCACGAUCCCCGACAAGGAGAUCCUCAAGAUUAUUAAGGAGAACUUCGACUUCAGGCCUGGCAUGAUCAUCAUCAACCUUGACCUCAAGAAAGGCGGCAACGGGCGCUACCUCAAGACAGCUGCCUACGGUCACUUCGGAAGGGACGACCCUGACUUCACCUGGGAGGUGGUGAAGCCCCUCAAGUGGGAGAAGCCUUCUGCCUAAGGCGCCCUUUGAGAAGAAGCUUUUGGUCUGCUGCGCUUAUCAUGUUUGGUGGCUUCUGUGUUGUGAUUCUUGAUCUGCCCCUUGCUAUCAUUUGUAUUGU
rnacentral:lncRNA from 1 species